rnacentral:rRNA from 1 species
AUACGUAGGUGGCAAGCGUUGUCCGGAUUUAUUGGGCGUAAAGCGAGCGCAGGCGGAAAGAUAAGUCAGAUGUGAAAGCCUUCGGCUUAACCGGAGAAGUGCAUCGGAAACUGGGAAACUUGAGUGCAGAAGAGGACAGUGGAACUCCAUGUGUAGCGGUGAAAUGCGUAGAUAUAUGGAGGAACACCAGUGGCGAAGGCGGCUGUCUAGUCUGUAACUGACGCUGAGGCUCGAAAGCGUGGGUAGCAAACAGGAUUAGAUACCCUGGUAGUCCAUGCCGUAAACGAUGAGUGCUAGGUGUUGGAGGGUUUCCGCCCUUCAGUGCCGCAGCUAACGCAUUAAGCACUCCGCCUGGGGAGUACGACCGCAAGGUUGAAACUCAAAUGAAUUGACGGGG